AUUGUGCAUAACUCUUUCCUCGUUCUGUUGUUUCUCAGGAAUUUAUUUCAAACUUUAUUUUCAUUUUCACUGCUUUUUCUCAACCUCAGCAUUACUAAUAUUCAAAGAUGAAACGACUUGGUUUUGAAUUAUCUUCUGGGAAAUGUCAGUAUACUAAAUGUAACUACACCCAAUACAUUCAGUCCUCUGAUGUUUGGUAAGGGUACAGAGGAUCUAGCAGUUUCUUAGUUGAUUACUUUAAAAAGCCCCUUUUAAAAACAUCUGGUGAUUAUAGCUGUUUUUGCAAUUACUUUCUAGAACUAUGUUGGUUCUCAUAGACUUCAGCUUAGCAGAACUGCUGAACUUCCAUCUUAAAUGUCAAUAUCUAGCAAAGAGUAGGUCAAAUGAUCUAAAGUCUAACAACUCAUGUGCAGAUUCCCUUCAUCUUUUACUCUCUAAUUUGUUUAAUUCAAAGAGAUGUUCAUAAACAAGAGAUAAAAAGGAAAAAGGGCAGACAUAGGUGGGAAAGUAACUAAAAAAUGAGGAAAGAUUAUAACCUAGAAGAGGCACAAGUUGCAACCUUCCUCCUGGGAUUCAGUUGUCUAAAUAUUGACACAGAGGAUUCCAGGAACUGGCAUUUUCCCUGUCUGCCUGCCUGUGGCUGGCCACCUUUUUGUAUAUUUGUUACUGCAACCUCUGCUGAAACUUAGAUGUCACUAAGGAAAUGGGACCCAGGUGCCGUCUACUUUUAGACUGUCUUCCACCUUUAAAAUGUAUUUAAGGGAUCUUUUAUUCUCACCUUCUCUCACUGGGGCAUUGACCGGAGGAAGAAGAGAGCAGAUUACUUUUGUCCUCCUGAACUAAAUUCCUCCCUACCAUGGAGUUUCAUCUUCUCUGAAGAAACUAAAAGUAUAAAGAUGGCAAGAAAUUCAUUCUUUUUAGAAAUUUUUCAACUUUUCUUUUAGAUACAGGGGGUACACGUACAGGUUUGUUACAUGAGAAUAUUAUAUUUUGCUGAGGUUUGGGGUACAGAUCCUAUCACCCAGAUAGUGAGCAUAGUGCCCAGCAGGUAGUUUGUCAGAACACACUAGACUUCCUUCCUCUCCUCUCUCAUAGUCUUCAGUUCCCAUGUGUAUGUCCAGUUGUGCUCAAUGUUUAGCUUUCACUUAUAAGUGAGAAUAUGUGGUAUUUGGUUUUCUGUUCCUUCAUGAAUUUGCUUAGUGUUACGGCCUCCAACUACAUCCAUGUUGUUACAUAGAAUAUGAUUGUAUUCUUUUAUAUGGCUGCAUAAUAUUACAUGAAGUAUAUGUAUCGUAUUUUCUUUCCAAUGGCCAAUUCACCAUUGAUGGGCACCUAAGUUGACUCCAUGAAUACUAUGAAUAGCAUGGCAAUGAACAUAGAGUGCUUGUGUCUUUUUGGUAGAACAAUUUAUUUUCUUUUGGGUAUAUACCCAGUAGUGGGACUGCUGGAUCAAUUGGUAGCUCUAUCUAUAGUUCUUUGAAAAGUCUAAAACCUGCUUUCUACAGGGACUGAACUAAUUUACAUUCCACCAGCAGCAUACAAGCGUUCUCUUUUCUCCAAAACCUAGGCAGCAUCUGUUACUCUUUUUAAAUUUUUUUUUAUUAAACUUUAAGUUCUAGGGUACAUGUGCACAAUGUGCAGGUUUGUUACAUAUGUAUACAUGUGCCAUGUUGGUGUGCUGCACCCGUUAAUUCAUCAUUUACAUUAGGUAUAUCUCCUAAUGCUAUCCCCAGCCCCCACAAUAGGACUCGGUGUGUGAUAUUCCCCUUCCUGUGUCCAAGUGAUCUCAUUGUUCAAUUCCCACCUAUGAGUGAGAACAUGCAGUAUUUGUUUUUCUGUUCUUCCAAUAGUUUGUGAGAAUGAUGGUUUCCCGCUGCAUCCAUGUCCCUACAAAGGACACAAACUCAUCCUUUUUUAUGGCUGCAUAGUAUUCCAUGGUGUAUAUGUGCCACAUUUUCUUCAUCCAGUCUGUCACUGAUGGACAUUUGGGUUGAUUCCAAGUCUUUGCUAUUGUGAAUAGUGCCGCAAUAAACAUACAUGUGCAUGUGUCUUUAUAGUAGCAUGACUUAUAAUCCUUUGGAUAUAUCCCCAGUAAUGGAAUGGCUGGGUCAAAUGGUAUUUCUAGUUCUAGAUCCUUGAGGAAUUGCCACACUGUUUUCCAUAAUGGUUGAACUAGUUUACAAUCCCACUAACAGUGUAAAAGUGUUCCUAUUUCUCCACAUCCUCUCCAGGACCUGUUGUUUCCUGAUUUGUUAAUGAUUGCCAUUCUAACUGGUGUGAGAUGGUAUCUCAUUGUUGUUUUGAUUUGCAUUUCUCUGAUGGCCAGUGAUGAUGAGCAUUUUUUCAUGUGUCUGUUGGCUGUAUGAAUGUCUUCUUUUGAGAAGAGUCUGUUCAUAUCCUUUGCCCACUUUUUGAUGAAGUUGUUUGUUGUUUUCUUGUAAAUUUGAUUGAGUUCUUUGUAGGUUCUGGAUAUUAGCCCUUUGUCAGAUGAGUAGAUUGCAAAAAUUUUCUCCCAUUCUGUAGGUUGUCUGUUCACUCUGAUGGUAGUUUCUUUUGCUGUGCAGAAGUUCUUUAGUUUAAUUAGAUCCCAUUUGUCAAUUUUGGCUUUGUUGUCAUUGCUUUUGGUGUUUUAGACAUGAAGUCCUUGCCCAUGCCUGUAUCCUGAAUGAUAUUACCUAGGUUUUCUUCUAGGGUUUUUAUGAUAUUAGGUCUAAUAUUUAAGUCUCUAAUCCAUUCUGAAUUAAUUUUCGUAUAAGGAGUGAGGAAAGGAUCCAGUUUCAGCUUUCUACCUAUGGCUAGCCAAUUUUCCCAGCACCAUUUAUUAAAUAGGGAAUCCUUUCCCCACUUCUUGUUUUUGUCAGGUUUGUCAAAGAUCAGAGGGCUGUAGAUGUGUGGUAUUAUUUCUGAGGACUCUGUUCUGUUCCAUUGGUCUAUAUCUCUGUUUUGGUACCAGUACCAUGCUGUUUUGGUUACUGUAGCCUUGUAGUAUAGUUUGAAGUCAGGUAGCGUGAUGCCUCCAGCUUUGUUCUUUUGGCUUAGGAUUGUCUUGGCAAUGCAGGAUCUUUUUUGGUUCCAUGUGAACUUUAAAGCAGUUUUUUCCAAUUCUGUGAAGAAACUCAUUGGUAGCUUACCUUGGGCAGUAUGGCCAUUUUCACGAUUUUGAUUGUUCCUAUCCAUGAGCAUGGUAUGUUCUUCCAUUUGGUUGUGUCCUCUUUUAUUUCACUGAGCAGUGGUUUGUAGUUCUCCUUGAAGAGGUCCUUUACAUCCCUUGUAAGUUGGGUUCUUAGGUAUUUUAUUCUCUUUGAAGCUAUUGUGAAUGGGAGUUCAUUCAUGAUUUGGUUCUCUAUUUCUCUGUUACUGGUGUAUAAGAAUGCUUGUGAUUUUUGUACAUUAAUUUUGUAUCCUGAGACUUUGCUGAAGUUGCUUAUCAGCUGAAGGAGAUUUUGGGCUGAGACAAUGGGGUUUUCUAAAUAUACAAUCAUGUCAUCUGCAAACAGGGACAAUUUGACUUCUUCUUUUCCUAACUGAAUACCCUUGAUUUCUUUCUCUUGCCUGAUUGCCCUAGCCAGAACUUCCAACACUAUGUUGAAUAGGAGUGGUGAGAGAGGGCAUCCUUAUCUUGUGCCAGUUUUCAAAGGGAAUUUUUCCAGUUUUUGCCAAUUCAGUAUGAUAUUGGCUGUGGGUUUGUCAUAAAUAGCUCUUAUUAUUUUGAGAUACGUUCCAUCAAUACCGAAUUUAUUGAGAGUUUUUAGCACGAAGGGCUGUUGAAUUUUGUCAAAGGCCUUUUCUGCAUCUAUUGAGAUAAUCAUGUGGUUUUUGUC
ensembl:lncRNA